UUCUCGUUAGUAUAGUGGACAGUAUCUCCGCCUGUCACGCGGAAGACCGGGGUUCGAUACCCCGAUGGGGAG
rfam:Danio rerio chromosome 5, GRCz11 reference primary assembly.